UGGUGUAAACUCUUCUGGGACUGUACAGUAUUCUGCUGCCUUGGCUGAAAACGCAUUGCCUAGCUCCUGAUUUAAAAUUCCUACAUCUAAAUAGCACUUUUGCUGGAUGGAAUCAUCGGAGUUCAAAGUGCAGUGGAAGAAAUCAGCACUUAAAUAGAAGAUCCAAAUUCCUAUCUUAAAUCCAUGUUGAGGAAGGAAGAGCUCUAUUAGAAUUCUGCGCGUUCAGAUGUGGGAUUUCCAGAAAGGAAAAGCUAUUUUGUUCA
rnacentral:lncRNA from 1 species